rnacentral:misc_RNA from 1 species
GAAAUGCGAUAAGUAAUGUGAAUUGCAGAAUUCCGUGAAUCAUCGAAUCUUUGAACGCACAUUGCGCCCUCUGGUAUUCCGGGGGGCAUGCCUGUCCGAGCGUCAUUGCACACCCUCAAGCGCGGCUUGUGUGUUGGGCCCCCGCGUCCUUGCCUCCUGAAAGGACGGGCCCGAAAGGCAGUGGCGGCGUCGCGGUUAUCCGAUCAGCCAGAGCGUAUGGGGACUCUGUUCACACGUUCGGGGGCGCGGACCGACGCCAGUCCGAUUAACAAUCUUCUUCCAAGGUUGACCUCGGAUCAGGUAGGGAUACCCGCUGAACUUAAGCAUAUCAAUAAGCGGAGGACUGUCUUCUUAUACCACAGCUCCCGAGCCCAACGAGACGC